rnacentral:rRNA from 1 species
UACGGAGGAUGCAAGCGUUAUCCGGAUUUAUUGGGUUUAAAGGGUGCGCAGGUUGUUUGAUAAGUCAGUGGUGAAAGUCUGUCGCUUAACGGUAGGAUUGCCAUUGAUACUGUUGGACUUGAAUAUGGACGAGGUAGGCGGAGUGUGUAGUGUAGCAGUGAAAUGCAUAGAUAUUACACAGAACACCGAUUGCGAAGGCAGCUUACUAAUCCAUCAUUGACGCUGAGGCACGAAAGCGUGGGGAUCAAACA